GGUGGUGGUGUUCUCACCCUGACCUAUUCAGGGCCAAGCAGGUAAAUGGAGUGUUUAACCCCAAUUCUCAUGGUCCCCUUCUCCUGCCCUCUCUCUGGGUCCAAUGUGAAGAGAGUACUUGGGCACAUCCAUGAGGCCAGGAAUCCCACUUGACUUAGCCAUGUUCCCGGCCCACUGUGUGCACCACGCUGACCUCACAAUAGCAGGCCUACACAUAAGUACUUUAAACUAGGUCAGUCACCAGAGGAUCAGAGCAAUGGACCUGACCAGGUCAGGGUGAGCUCGAAAUUAAUUACAAACAGUCACAGAAUUUAGUUUCAAAAUUUCCUAACAGGAAAGCAAAAAGGGAAAUAAGCUGGGCUAUGCAGUUCCUACUGACAGACAAAAGGCAGCAGAUGUAACAUUUGUCUGAUAGAGAAGUCAAAGAAAAAAUGAUCAAAAUGUGUCCUUUGAGAAAGCCUUGGGCAAGACACCAGAUCUCUUGCUUUGGAGGAGCCAUGCUGUGACGUUCAAGCAGCUUAGGGAGAGGCUCAUGAGAAUGAAGUCUUCCGCCAGCAGCCAGGGCAGAACCGAGCCUCCUGCCCUCUGCCGUGGGGGGAGCCACCACAUAAGUGGGUCCGCCAGCCCCAGCCCAGCCUUCAGGUGACUGCAGCCCCAAGUGACAGCUGGGUCACAGCUCUGUGAGAAGCCCUGAUCCAGAGCCACUCGGCUAAAACACCCUCAGAUUCCUGACUCUCAAAAACUGUGUGAUAAUAAAUGCUCAUUGUUUUCA